CGCUUUCCUCCCGACCUAUCGUCUUUCCCAGUGUGAUGGCGGCGGCGACUAUGGGCGAUGCCCAAACCCAACCCCUCCCAACACCCAGAUUUGCCAAUGCACUUGUCCGAUCAACCUCCAUCUAUCCCGCGAUGAAAAGAAAUACCCCCAGCUGAUGUAGUCUCCUCUCCCAUCCUCAUUACCGGCAGCGAACAUGGAGUGACUGACGAUUAAAUUUUCCUAGGUGAGGAGGUGGGACUUACCAUCAAAGUGCGGCGCCCUCUGCAUAAUCCCCUCAUCGUCAACCACGCCUCUACCUCUGCUACCUGCCCCACCAUUGCGAUGGUGAUGACAACCCUGAUGGUUCACAUCGACCAGGUAAAGCGUGCCCUUCUCUCGAAUUUGACCCUUCCCAGUACUUUCUUGGUUUCAGGGCACUCUUGGUGGGCAACAUCUAUAGCGUCCUCUUAUCCUUGCUUGCUGAACAUGGGACUGGUCCUCUAGCCUGAUAGUCACCAAUCCAGCACAACAAUUCCUCCCUUCCUCACCGAGGCCUGGAAUAAGACAAAUCUUGGUUCAUUUAAGAGUGACCGACUCCUCUAGCCUGAAAGUGUAGCCAAUUGCCGGUUAGCUGAGUAUCUGGUUAUUUGAGUAGAACAUCUAUGUUUCUCUUCUUCAUGUAGACCCGUUUAAUUUGAUAUUACUGACAGAAAAAUGUAAAAUCAUUGCCUACAUUCCCGAAAUUCAUCUCAUUUCAUGGUUUAUUCUUCGAGGGCAUCCAGAACAGAUGCAUUACUUUUUCAGUUCUCUAGUACGUAGUUAUAUUUGCAAAUGAACAACAUUUUCUUUGUAUGUAUGCAAGCUUACUACUGCCCCCGAUUUGUUCUAUUUAAUUUUAAAGCAUAACAGUUUUUGCAUAUUACUAAUAUUGACAACAAGAAUGCUCAAGAAUGAUUUGAAUUUCGUAGUAUUAUAAAUCCAUGUCUUCUUCCAGCAGGUAAGUAUAUACAAUGGCUACAGUGGCAUGUUAAAGUUCCAAUAAUUCAAUUUAUAAAUUGUUGUGUUCUAACUAUUAUUCUGGUGCAAAGCUAAUUUGGAAAUAAUGUGGAAGUCUUGCAUGGGUAGUUUUAGGGUGCAAAUCCCUAAAAUUGUCCUUGGACACGCUGCACCAAAACAAUUUGAUUCAUUGAUGUUACAUGAGCAUUGCUAUCUCUAAUCACCCCUAUGUCAUUUCUCCAUGCUCCCCUGAAAGUAAGAGGUGGAGGAUAACAUACAUUCAGUAGCAUGUUCCACUUACCCUACCGCGGCACUGGUCAGAACAUGUGCUUUUGUCAAUGGCUGAGGAGUAGCAUGCUCCAUUGUAUGCAUUUUCUAACAUAAAAGAUGCGAUCUGGCUGAGGAACUUGACAGGAAUAACUAAUUAACUACAGGGUCCAACUGCUGGAUGGAACCUUCAACGACAGGAGUUGAUCCGAAUAAAAGCAAUGCAGUGAGCUAUAAUUCAGAGGUCAAGCUAUGAUGCUUUGUGCGUUUCUAGAAUGGACUGUACUGGCAUAGCUGCACAGGUCUGGUACGCUUCAUGAUGGCUGAUAAAUAGUAAAUUCCAAUGCAGAGAAUGCAUGUACUAUCUUACAUGGCACCAAAAUAUGUUCUUGAUAUUGCUUGCAUCCUCAUAUUAUUGACCUAAGUUUAAGUUAACAUCUACUCAGACAUUAUGUUGAUUAUUAUUGAUUGUUACCUGAGUGGUAUUUUGUAAUUAUUUGUACUGUAGCAAAUUUAUCAAACAAAUCUUCUUCCCUUUGUAUAUGUCUCGGCACUGGCACUGCACUCUUUU